UUUCCCGGUCCCGUUUACGUUUGUCCUGUUGCCGUCCCUAAAAUAAGGUGAUCCUCCACACGCGUUUGCUCCGCAGCGUGGAGGUUUCCGACAGACACCCCCCUCUCCAACUUCGGAUGGGAGCACCGCGUGUUGGUCAGGGACUUACCAAUUUGGGCUUCUUCCAGAGCUGAAAACCGAUUACAAAUACAAAACAGAUUUCACUACUGGACUUUAAUGCCAUAUAAAAAACAAGAUCUUCAAAAUAAUUGAAAAAGGUCCUCACCAAAGAAUAGAUGGAAUGUGAAUGGCAAGAUAUCAAGGAGGUUUUGGUAUUAGGUCUGAUGUGUAUCAGACCCUGAAAUGCUCGUGGAGUGAAUGAAGAAUUUCUGUUGGUACAUCAUGGGAACUAUACAGAGACAGCAAUGCAAUGGCGCGUUUCAAAAUCGUGAUGCCAAGAGUGUCCUCUUCCUUCUUCACCAUACCCUGGACUCCAUUUGCCACCUCCUGCUCUUCGUAGACAUGAGGGAUCUGAGAAAACAUUCACUAUCUGGAAUGCAGAACAAACCCUUCAUAAAUAUUUGGUAAAGCCCUUUGGGAAUUGUCACACUUUUGAGGUAACACCCAGUAGCACCAGCUCCUUCAGAGAAGUUUUGCUUCUGCCUGGCUAGUGGAAAUCAAAGUGAAGAGUGACUCGUGGGCACAGCCGCAUGACCAGACCGUGUUUUUAAUGCUAUGUGCACAAAUGUCUCUUCGAAGUUCCAGCAGGAGAGAAGCACGAUGAAGUGAGACACGGACAGCUCUAACCUGUCAGGCCAGAACCUGUGUCCAGCUGCAUGAUCUCUCCAGGAGGUGGCUAUUUUAACUUUUCUGGAUUUUUGGUCA